GAUGAACGCUGGCGGCGUGCCUAAUACAUGCAAGUCGAGCGAAGCGAGGACGGGUGAGUAACACGUGGCUAACCUCCUUUACCUCUGGGACAACUUCGGGAAACCCGAGCUAAAGCUGCUACUUAGCGCUGGAUCCGCGCUGCAUUAGCUCGUUGGUGGGGUAACGGCUAACCAAGGCCACACUGCAUAGCCGACCUGAGAGGGUGAUCAGCCACACUGGAACUGAGACAAUGUCCAGACUCUUACGGGAGGCAGCAGUAGGGAAUCUUCCGCAAUGGGCGAAAGCCUGACCGAGCAAAGCCGCGUGAGUGAUGAAGGUCUUCGGAUCGUAAAACUCUGUUAUUAGAGAAGCGGUACCUAAUCAGAAAGCCACGGCUAACUACGUGCCAGCCGCCGCGGUAAUAC
rnacentral:rRNA from 1 species